rnacentral:rRNA from 1 species
GAUGAACGCUGGCGGCGUGCCUAAUACAUGCAAGUCGAGCGAACGGACGAGAAGCUUGCUUCUCUGAUGUUAGCGGCGGACGGGUGAGUAACACGUGGAUAACCUACCUAUAAGACUGGGAUAACUUCGGGAAACCGGAGCUAAUACCGGAUAAUAUUUUGAACCGCAUGGUUCAAAAGUAAAAGACGGUCUUGCUGUCACUUAUAGAUGUAUCCGCGCUGCAUUAGCUAGUUGGUAAGGUAACGGCUUACCAAGGCAACGAUGCAUAGCCGACCUGGGAGGGUGAUCGGCCACACUGGAACUGAGACACGGUCCAGACUCCUACGGGAGGCAGCAGUAGGGAAUCUUCCGCAAUGGGCGAAAGCCUGACGGAGCAACGCCGCGUGAGUGAUGAAGGUCUUCGGAUCGUAAAACUCUGUUAUUAGGGAAGAACAUAUGUGUAAGUAACUGUGCACAUCUUGACGGUACCUAAUCAGAUAGCCACGGCUAACUACGUG